ACCUGACGGAGCAAUACCGCGUGAGGGAUGAAGGCCUUUGGGUUGUAAACCUCUUUUAUCAAGGAGGAAGUUCUGACGUGUACUUGAUGAAUAAGCAUCGGCUAACUCCGUGCCAGCAGCCGCGGUAAGACGGAGGAUGCAAGUGUUAUCCGGAAUCACUGGGCGUAAAGCGUCUGUAGGUGGUUUAAAAAGUCCACUGUUAAAGAUUGAAGCUUAACUUCAAAAAUGCCGUGGAAACUUUUAAACUUGAGUAUGAUAGGGGUAGAGGGAAUUUCCAGUGGAGCGGUGAAAUGCGUAGAUAUUGGAAAGACCACCAAUGGCGAAGGCACUCUACUGGGCCAUUACUGACACUGAGAGACGAAAGCUAGGGGAGCAAAUGGGAUUAGAUACCCCAGUAGUCCUAGCUGUAAACGAUGGAUACUAGAUGUUGUGUGUAUUGACCCAUGCAGUAUCGUAGCUAACGCGUUAAGUAUCCCGCCUGGGAAGUAUGCUCGCAAGAGUG
rnacentral:rRNA from 1 species